UGCAAUACGUGUUUCCUUUCUCAAGAAGCCACAAUUUGUUUUCCAUUUUCAGCUUGUGACUGCAAUACGUGUUUCCUUUCUCAAGAAACCACAAUUUGUUUUCCAUUUUCAGCCAGCCAAAUUUGAUUUCUUUCCGUAAUAUUUGAUAAACACAGCAGCAUGUAAGAUUUGAUCAACACAACAACAAACUUUGAUUUCAAACUUUGAUUUCUACCGCAGCAAACUUUGAUUUCUUUCACACAGUAGUUGACGAACAAGUAAAUUCAAUCUAUUUAAACCUCAUUGUAUCAUCCUCAAAUUCACAAAUCAACAAAACAAAUUCAGUCUUUUAAGAUUCAUCCUGUUUCUUCCCACUGCCGAAUCUCCAUCGGUGCGGCGCGACUAGGAUGUGAACUUUAAAUUCUUGCAGUUAAUUUUCAAAGCUCAAAAGUUCAAGUUUCAGGUGUGGGAUUUAUUUCAGUACAUGCACGUGGUUAAUAUUUGUCCAUUUUAAUAUUAUGUGUUUACCGUAUGUGUUGUAAAAAUAUUUAUCGCUAGGGGCCAGCAUAAUUGGUCCAGGACUUCACCGUCCUUGGUAUGCCACAAUGCGAUUUCACGUUACAGGGUUGCAACCAUUAUAUUGUCGCCAGGGAUCCAUAUAUAGGGUCCGGGACAUUAAAGUCCUUGGAGUUGCCACAGUGCGUAUGGAAGUUAUGUUACGUUAUGACAAUAUGUGUUACCAUUUUAUUAACAUGGACAAUUAUUGCAUGUUCCCACACUGAGUGUACCCUGUAUGCUCAUCCCAUAUUCAACAGUUUCAGGUGAUUGAUAUCGGAGGCGCGUGGAGAGUCGAAUGGGCGCGUCGAAUCUAUUUAAAAUAAAUGUUUCUUAAAACAUAUUAUGUUAUUUCAUGUGAUAUUUUUUGGUUAUGUAAACUCUGAAAUUCUAUACUAUUUGAGAUUUGUGUGUGAUUUGUCUAAAUAAAUGUUGUUAUAUUAUUUUAAUGUCAUGACUUGUUUAAUUUA